rnacentral:rRNA from 1 species
GACGAACGCUGGCGGCGUGCUUAACACAUGCAAGUCGAACGGAAAGGCCCUGCUUUUGUGGGGUGCUCGAGUGGCGAACGGGUGAGUAACACGUGAGUAACCUGCCCUUGACUUUGGGAUAACUUCAGGAAACUGGGGCUAAUACCCGAUAGGAGCUCCUGCUGCAUGGUGGGGGUUGGAAAGUUUCGGCGGUUGGGGAUGGACUCGCGGCUUAUCAGCUUGUUGGUGGGGUAGUGGCUUACCAAGGCUUUGACGGGUAGCCGGCCUGAGAGGGUGACCGGCGACAAUGGGACUGAGAUACGGACCAGAAUCCUACGGGAGGCAGCAGUGGGGAAUAUUGCACAAUGGGCGGAAGCCUGAUGCAGCAACGCCGCGUGCGGGAUGACGGCCUUCGGGGUGUAAACCGAUUUCGCCUGUGACGAAGAGUGAGUGACGGUAAUGGGUAAAGAAGCACCGGCUAACUACGUG